AUUGAACGCUGGCGGCAGGCUUAACACAUGCAAGUCGAGCGGGGGAAGGUAGCUUGCUACUGGACCUAGCGGCGGACGGGUGAGUAAUGCUUAGGAAUCUGCCUAUUAGUGGGGGACAACAUCUCGAAAGGGAUGCUAAUACCGCAUACGUCCUAAGGGAGAAAGCAGGGGAUCUUCGGACCUUGCGCUAAUAGAUGAGCCUAAGUCGGAUUAGCUAGUUGGUGGGGUAAAGGCCUACCAAGGCGACGAUCUGUAGCGGGUCUGAGAGGAUGAUCCGCCUCCCUGGGACUGAGACACGGCCCAAACUCCUCCGGGAGGCAGCAGUGGGAAAUAUUGGACAAUGGGGGAACCCUGAUCCAGCCAUGCCGCGUGUGUGAAGAAGGCCUUAUGGUUGUAAAGCACUUUAAGCGAGGAGGAGGCUACUCUAGUUAAUACCUAGGGAUAGUGGACGUUACUCGCAGAAUAAGCACCGGCUAACUCUGUGCCAGCCGCCGCCGUAA
rnacentral:rRNA from 1 species